rnacentral:rRNA from 1 species
CGAACGGGUGAGUAACACGUGAGUAACCUGCCCCCUUCUUUGGGAUAACGGUCGGAAACGGCUGCUAAUACCGGGUAUUCACUGUCCUUCGCAUGGGGGGUGGUGGAAAGGUUUUUUCUGGUGGGGGAUGGGCUCGCGGCCUAUCAGCUUGUUGGUGGGGUGAUGGCUUACCAAGGCUUUGACGGGUAACCGGCCUGAGAGGGUGACCGGUCACAUUGGGACUGAGAUACGGCCCAGACUCCUACGGGAGGCAGCAGUGGGGAAUAUUGCACAAUGGGCGAAAGCCUGAUGCAGCGACGCCGCGUGAGGGAUGACGGCCUUCGGGUUGUAAACCUCUUUCGCUCAUGGUCAAGCCGCAACAGUGGUUGUGGUGAGGGUAGUGGGUAAAGAAGCACCGGCUAACUACGUGCCAGCAGCCGCGGUAAUACGUAGGGUGCGAGCGUUGUCCGGAAUUAUUGGGCGUAAAGGGCUUGUA